GACGAACGCUGGCGGCGUGCUUAACACAUGCAAGUCGAACGGAAAGGCCCUGCUUUUGUGGGGUGCUCGAUUGGCGAACGGGUGAGUAACACGUGAGUAAACUGCCCUUGACUUUCGGAUAACUUCAGGAAACUCGGGCUAAUACCGGAUAUAAUCUCCUGCUGCAUGGUGGUGGUUGGAAAGUUUCGGCGGUUUGGGAUGGACUCGCGGCUUAUCAGCUUGUUGGUGGGGUAGUGGCUUACCAAGGCUUUGACGGGUAGCCGGCCUGAGAGGGGGACCGGCCACAUUGGGACUGAGAUAGGGACCAGACUGCUACGGGAGGCAGUAGUGGGGAAUAUUGCAGAAUGGGCGGAAGCCUGAUGCAGCAACGCCGCGUGCGGGAUGACGGCUUUCGGGUUGUAAACCGCUUUCGCCUGUGACGAAGCGUGAGUGACGGUAAUGGGUAAAGAAGCACCGGCUAACUACGUG
rnacentral:rRNA from 1 species